rnacentral:lncRNA from 1 species
GUUUAAGGUCACACAGCACUAAGAUCAGAACUAGAGCUUAGGUUUUUUUUUUCUGCUUCUGAAACCUAUGUUUUUCUUGGCACAUUAAGUCAUUAUAAUCUAUAGUUUCCUCAGACAGGAAGUGUAAAGAACACAGAAAAGCAAGAAUUAAAUUCUGGGGUGGCUCAGAAAUUUGGAGAAAAAGAAAAAGAGCAAGUAAAAUCACAAGCAAGUACAAAGAAUACUAAAAUGAACUCAGCAAACAAGGAAGAAGAAAGUUUUAAGGAAAAAGCUGAACAAACAUACAAGGUAAAACUGAUCUCCAGGAAGUGAGCACGAAGUUGAGGCUCAGAAUAAAAGCAGCUGUGAGAGACUUGGGGCCUCCAAGAGACAAGGAGAGCAACACUGGUUCCUGUUAGCAUCCAGUUCUUGGGUUUUAUCCCUCAUUGAGGUGCAGAAGCUUUCCUUCCCUUGUGUAUAAUAAAUUCCUGGCUUUGCAUAAGCCAGCCCAAGUGGCCUUCUGUUCCCUGAUACCAAAACGUCUUGUCUAAUACAAA